rnacentral:misc_RNA from 1 species
GAAACGCGAUAGUUAAUGUGAAUUGCAGAAUUCAGUGAAUCAUCGAGUCUUUGAACGCACAUUGCGCCCAUAGGUAUUCCUUUGGGCAUGUCUGUUUGAGCGUCAUUACAACCCUCAGCUAACCGCUGGUUUUGAACCUGAACGGGUGACACCGCGCCGGUUUUAAAGUUGUAAGCUCUGCUGGCCGCUCUGCCCAACCAGAACAUAGUAAGCACUACUUGUCCGGGUGUAGCUGAACGGUACGGACUGAACAAAACCUACCCACUCUCAAGGUUUGACCUCAGAUCAGACAAGGAUACCCGCUGAACUUAAGC